rnacentral:rRNA from 1 species
AACGAACGCUGGCGGCGCGCCUAACACAUGCAAGUCGAACGAGAAGCUGUAGCAAUACAGCUGUAAAGUGGCGAACGGGUGAGUAACACGUGGGUAACCUACCCUCGAGUGGGGAAUAACCCGCCGAAAGGCGGGCUAAUGCCGCGUACGUUUCCAGGUCUGCGGAUCUGGAAAGAAAGCUGUACCUAGGGUAUGGCGCUCAAGGAUGGGCUCACGUCCUAUCAGCUUGUUGGUAGGGUAACGGCCUACCAAGGCAACGACGGGUAGCUGGUCUGAGAGGACGAUCAGCCACACUGGCACUGCGACACGGGCCAGACUCCUACGGGAGGCAGCAGUGAGGAAUAUUGCGCAAUGGGCGAAAGCCUGACGCAGCGACGCCGCGUGGGGGAUGAAGGUCUUCGGAUUGUAAACCCCUUUCGGGAGGAAAGAUGGUCGUAGACAACUACGACGGGCGGUACCGUCCAGAAGCAGCCACGGCUAACUUCGUGCCAGCAGCCGCGGUAAUACGGAA